UACGUAGGCAGCGAGCGUUGUUCGGAGUUACUGGGCGUAAAGGGUGCGUAGGCGGUUGUUUAAGUUUGGUGUGAAAUCUCCCGGCUCAACUGGGGGGGUGCGCCGAAUACUGAAUGACUAGAGUGCGGGAGAGGAGAGUGGAAUUCCUGGUGUAGCGGUGAAAUGCGUAGAUAUCAGGAGGAACACCGGUGGUGUAGACGGCUCUCUGGACCGUAACUGACGCUGAGGCACGAAAGCGUGGGUAGCAAACAGG
rnacentral:rRNA from 1 species